CAGUCGCCGCGGUAAUACAGAGGGUGCAAGCGUUAAUCGGAAUUACUGGGCGUAAAGCGCGCGUAGGUGGUUCGCCAAGUUGGAUGUGAAAUCCCCGGGCUCAACCUGGGAACUGCAUCCAAAACUGGCGAGCUAGAGUAUGGUAGAGGGUGGUGGAAUUUCCUGUGUAGCGGUGAAAUGCGUAGAUAUAGGAAGGAACAUCAGUGGCGAAGGCGACCACCUGGACUGAUACUGACACUGAGGUGCGAAAGCGUGGGGAGCAAACAGGAUUAGAUACCCGCGUAGUCCCUGUCUCUUAUAA
rnacentral:rRNA from 1 species